GGUAAUCCACAACCUAUAAAACGCCUUAAGAAUUUCAAGAAGAGGGAUAAUCCACUCUCUCCAAGAAGAAUAAGACUCCAAUAUUGUAAUAGAAGAAGUAUCAGUUUAGAGGAGGGUAAUCCGCAACCUCUAAAAAAUGCUAGUAUACCUUCAAGUAGAGGGGUAAUCCACACUCUACUAAGAAAGAACUAGCUCUGAUAUCUCAAGUUAGUGUAGUCUAGACAAACUGUCACGGGCACAAAAUACAGACUUGAAAUCUAACAAGAAGUUCAAGAAGAAAUGACAGAACUAGAUUAAAUAGAUGAGUACAAGAACAACACCAGAAAGGUGAGCUAGAACUCCAAGAGAU
rnacentral:lncRNA from 1 species